rnacentral:lncRNA from 1 species
GCAUUUUUGAAACAUUGGGGUUGUUGGAGUGGUUGGAUUUUCCCUGGAAUUGAGUGAGAAAUUCAGAAGACUGAAGCCCAGGCUUACUGUCUACCUUUCACGGAGGCCUAGCCGUGAGAGGACAGAAGAAGGCAUGUGGCGAAUCAUGACAGCAGACAAAGACAAAGAGAAGGACCGGGACUGAGACUGGGACUGAGAGAGAGAGAAAAGAGACAAAGCAAGAGAGAGUGAGAAUUCAAGGCCACGCCGGAGCUGUACCUUGGAAGGAGGAGCCAAAAAUUAUGCUGAGAGUGAUCACAGUGAAGACGAGGACAAUGACAACAAUAGUGCCACCACAGAGGAGUCCACGAAGAAGAACAAGAAGAAACCACCGAAGAAAACGUCUCGUUAUGAAAGGACAGAUACCGGCGAGAUAACAUCCUACAUCACUGAAGAUGAUGUUGUCUACAGACCAGGAGACUGUGUGUAUAUCGAGAGUUGGAGGCCAAACACACUGUAUUUCAU